AUGUACUCGACGCCCAACGGGGCUCAGGGGCCAACUGAGGAAGGGGAGGCGAGCGGAGGUGAGAGCGGGGACGACCAAGGCGAGUGGGAGUCCGACGGUGAAGGAGAGGGAGACGACAAUGUCGACUCCAGCGAAGAGGAGGAGGAGGAGGUCGAACCCCCUCGCCCAGAGGGGCGGUCCAAACACACACACGACCCAGCGCGGGAACGUGGCAAGGCGACUGCUUCUGUUGGGCAGUCGUCGAAACGCCCUCGGACCUCUUCUCCUAUGCCGACUGGGAAGGUCCCCAAGCUCCCACGCACGACGCUGUCCAAGCCGCCCAAGGCUCUACCCAAGAUGAAGAUAGCUGUCCCUACCAUUUCUGGGUAA
rnacentral:rRNA from 1 species